rnacentral:rRNA from 1 species
CUACGGGUGGCUGCAGUGGGGAAUAUUGCACAAUGGAGGAAACUCUGAUGCAGCGAUGCCGCGUGAGGGAAGAAGGUUUUCGGAUUGUAAACCUCUGUCUUCAGGGACGAUAAUGACGGUACCUGAGGAGGAAGCUCCGGCUAACUACGUGCCAGCAGCCGCGGUAAUACGUAGGGAGCAAGCGUUGUCGGAAUUACUGGGUGUAAAGGGAGCGUAGGCGGGACUGCAAGUCAGAUGUGAAAAUUAUGGGCUCAACCCAUAACCUGCAUUUGAAACUGUGGUUCUUGAGUGAAGUAGAGGUAAGCGGAAUUCCUAGUGUAGCGGUGAAAUGCGUAGAUAUUAGGAGGAACAUCAGUGGCGAAGGCGGCUUACUGGGCUUUUACUGACGCUGAGGCUCGAAAGCGUGGGGAGCAAACAGGAUUAGAUACCCUCGUAGUC